rnacentral:tRNA from 1 species
GAUUGUAGCUCGGUGGCAGAGUGGUUGCCUAGCAUGUGUCAGGCUCUGGGUUCGAUUCUCAGCAGCA